UACAGAGGGUGCGAGCGUUAAUCGGAUUUACUGGGCGUAAAGCGCGCGUAGGCGGUUUUUUAAGUCAGAGGUGAAAGCCUGGAGCUCAACUCCAGAACUGCCUUUGAAACUGGAAAACUUGAAUCUUGGAGAGGUCAGUGGAAUUCCGAGUGUAGAGGUGAAAUUCGUAGAUAUUCGGAAGAACACCAGUGGCGAAGGCGACUGACUGGACAAGCAUUGACGCUGAGGUGCGAAAGCGUGGGGAGCAAACAGG
rnacentral:rRNA from 1 species